UACGAAGGGUGCAAGCGUUACUCGGAAUUACUGGGCGUAAAGCGCGCGUAGGUGGUUCGUUAAGUUGGAUGUGAAAUCCCCGGGCUCAACCUGGGAACUGCAUUCAAAACUGACGAGCUAGAGUAUGGUAGAGGGUGGUGGAAUUUCCUGUGUAGCGGUGAAAUGCGUAGAUAUAGGAAGGAACACCAGUGGCGAAGGCGACCACCUGGACUGAUACUGACACUGAGGUGCGAAAGCGUGGGGAGCAAACAGG
rnacentral:rRNA from 1 species